GAAGCCCCGAGGCCAAGGCGAGAUCUCAGCUCUGCGAAAGGACGGAGAGCCCACGUGUCCCCCUGUCUCCGUCCCUCCCCUCUCUACUGUAACCCCGCCCAGUCUCCUGUCCCCUUCUCAGUGAUCACGCCCAGUCUCCUCCUCUUCAUCCGUGUCCCCGCCCAGUCUCCUUCCCCCUUCGUGCGUAUUCCCACCCAGUCCCCUCCCCCCUGUGCUCUUCCUCACUGACCCUGCCGGCAGAACUUGUAUUUACAAUAGGACGCGGCAGGGAAACGAGAAGUGCCGCGGUCAGCAGUGUCUGCCGGCAGCGGUAUGGUGUGAGCAUUCUAGUGUCAUCAGGAUCACAUAAACAAGAUGAUGGGACCUACAUAGAAACCCCCUCACCGGAGAAGAUAUUCACCCAACAAGAAAUACACCCAG